UACCAGGGCUUGACAUGUAUUGUAACCCCGGUGAAAGCCGGGCAGCACGGAAACAUGCGCUUUACACAGGUGCUGCAUGGCUGUCGUCAGCUCGUGUCGUGAGAUGUUGGGUUAAGUCCCGCAACGAGCGCAACCCUUAUGAUUUGUUGCCACCGGUUCAUUCCGAGCACUCAAAUCAGACUGCCCAGAUUAACUGGGAGGAAGGUGGGGAUGACGUCAAGUCCGUAUGGCCCUUACGUCCUGGGCUGCACACGUACUACAAUGUCCAGUACAAAAUGAACCGAGACCGCGAGGUGGAGGAAAUCACAAAAACUGGGCUCAGUUCAGAUUGCAGGCUGCAACUCGCCUGCAUGAAGUCGGAAUCGCUAGUAAUGGUACAUCAGCAACGGUACCGUGAAUACGUUCCCGGGUCUUGUACACACCGCCCGUCACAUCAUGGAAGCUGGCGUUGCCCAAAGUACGUUGACCUCACGGUCGCGUCCUAAGGCAAUGGUGGUAACUGGGAUGAAGUCGUAACAAGGUAACCAAGGG
rnacentral:rRNA from 1 species